AACGCGAAGAACCUUACCCGGGCUUGAAAUGCGGCGGACCGGCAGAGAGAUCUGCCUUCCCUUCGGGGCCGCCGUGUAGGUGCUGCAUGGUUGUCGUCAGCUCGUGCCGUGAGGUGUCGGCUUAAGUGCCAUAACGAGCGCAACCCUCAUCAUUAGUUACUAACAGGUCAUGCUGAGGACUCUAGUGAGACUGCCAUCGUAAGAUGCGAGGAAGGUGGGGAUGACGUCAAGUCCUCAUGGCCUUUAUGUCCAGGGNCUACACACGUACUACAAUGGGCGGUACAAAGGGAAGCGAGCCCGCGAGGGGGAGCCAAUCCCAAAAAGCCGUUCACAGUUCGGAUUGGAGUCUGCAACUCGACUCCAUGAAGUUGGAAUCGCUAGUAAUCGCGGAUCAGCAUGCCGCGGUGAAUACGUUCCCGGGUCUUGUACACACCG
rnacentral:rRNA from 1 species